rnacentral:rRNA from 1 species
AUACGGAGGACGCGAGCGUUAUCCGGAUUCAUUGGGUUUAAAGGGUGCGCAGGCGGCCGUGCAAGUCAGCGGUGAAAGCCCGGGGCUCAACCCCGGAAGUGCCGUUGAUACUGCAUGGCUGGAAUGCGGUCGAGGCGGGCGGAACGUGGCGUGUAGCGGGGGAAAGCGUAGAUAUGCCACAGAACGCCGAUAGCGGAGGCGGCUCGCCAGGCCUGCAUUGACGCUCGGGCACGAAAGCGUGGGGAUCGAACAGGAUUAGAUACCCUGGUAGUCCACGCCGUAAACGAUGGGCGCUCGUCGUCGGCGGCAGACAGUCGGCGGCCAAGCGAAAGCGAUAAGCGCCCCACCUGGGGAGUACGGUCGCAAGGCUGAAACUCAAAUGAAUUGACGGGG